rnacentral:tRNA from 1 species
AAAGCCUUAGCUUAAAUUAAAGUAUCUGUCUUGCGGUCAGAAGAUGCGGAUUAAAUUUCCGUAGGUUUUA